GGGCCAGGAUCCAGUUGUGAGGCCAUCCAUCCCUAACCACAGACAGGAAUCUGUCUCAAGGGAACAGUCUGGUGACCAGCUUACUAUGGAUAACACAGCACAGAGCAAGUAAUGUCCUUGUCCUUUCCUUCCAGGCCUGUGCAUCCGUGAGUCUAGCCCUGACCUGAGGUUAAUAAAACUUGGUUUUCCAGCAUUUCGCUGCCCCAGGAGGGCAGUGGGCCCCCUGUCCAAUUCAUCAACUGCCUAAUGAGCGGCCCCGGAGGUCCCGGCCCGUCCAUUCCAGAAGCUCUCUCUGCCUUGUAAAGCCGCCCACCUCGAGCCCAGAAGAGCAGGAGCGCAGAGGGGCGGUUAUGCUUACGGUGCCUGCAGGACAAGACAAAGUGGAAAGCUGCUCUUUGUCACCCACCCGGCCCCGAUGGCAGCUAACAGACCUCAUCCACACAAUUGGCUGGGACUCGACUCCCUUGUAACACCAGGUCCCUCUUCUGCAGUCUCUGUGCACUCGUGGAGGAGCAGUGUGGAGGGUCUCUGAGGCCAGGGGGAGCACCAGCAUCAGCCAGCACCUCCGUUCUUCGACAGAGGGAAGACGCGAUUGCGUGGCUCUCAGCAGUGACAUCAGAGUGUCCACGUGCCCCCGACCGUGUGCCCCAGCUGUAUGCAU
rnacentral:lncRNA from 1 species